rnacentral:rRNA from 1 species
GUGAGUAGUUCAGAGUUUGAUCCUGGCUCAGGACGAACGCUGGCGGCGUGCCUAACACAUGCAAGUCGAACGGGGUAGAGAGCUUCGGUUUUCUACUUAGUGGCGAACGGGUGAGUAACGCGUGAAGAACCUGCCUUUCAGUGGGGGACAACAGUUGGAAACGACUGCUAAUACCGCAUAAUGUUAUUUGAGGGCAUUCUCGGAUAACCAAAGCUUUAUGUGCUGAAAGAUGGCUUCGCGUCUGAUUAGCUAGAUGGCGGGGUAACGGCCCACCAUGGCGACGAUCAGUAGCCGGACUGAGAGGUUGAACGGCCACAUUGGGACUGAGACACGGUCCAG